GACGAACGCUGGCGGCGUGCCUAACACAUGCAAGUCGAACGGAAAGGCCCUGCUUUUGUGGGCUGCUCGGGGGGCGAACGGGGGAGUAACACGUGAGUAACCUGCCCUUCACUUUGGGGUAAGUUAAGGAAGCUGGGGCUAAUCCCGGAUAGGAGCUCCCGCUGCAUGGUGGGGGUUGGAUAGUUUCGGCGGUUGGGGAUGGACUGGCGGCUUAUGAGCUUGUUGGUUGGGUAGUGGCUUACCAAGGCUUUGACGGGUAGCCGGCCUGGGAGGGUGACCGGCCACAUUGGGACUGAGAUACGGCCCAGACUCCUACGGGAGGCAACGGUGGGGAGUAUUACACAAUGGGCGGAAGCCUGAUGCAGCAACGCCGCGUGCGGGAUGACGGCCUUCGGGUUGUGAACCGCUGCCGCCUGAGACGAAGCGUUAGUGACGGUAAUGGGAAAAUAAGCACCGGCUAACUACGUG
rnacentral:rRNA from 1 species